GAAAAGAAACCAACAGGGAUUGCCUCAGUAACGGCGAGUGAAGCGGCAGAAGCUCAAAUUUGAAAUCUGGCGUCUGCGGCGCCCGAGUUGUACUUUGGAGAGGCAUCUUCCGGAGGGGCCCGGCCUAUGUGCCUUGGAACAGGACGUCACAGAGGGUGAGAAUCCCGUUCUCGGCCGGAUGUCCCCUCCGGCAUGCAGUGUCUUCUACGAGUCGAGUUGUUUGGGAAUGCAGCUCAAAAUGGGUGGUAAAUUUCAUCUAAAGCUAAAUAUUGGCGAGAGACCGAUAGCGCACAAGUAGAGUGAUCGAAAGAUGAAAAGCACUUUGAAAAUAGAGUCAAACAGUACGUGAAAUUGUUGAAAGGGAAGCGCUUGAGACCAGACUCGGCCUUUGACGAACAAUAGUCCUUCUGGGCUGUGCACUUGUCAUCGGCUGGGCCAGCAUCGGUUGGGACGGCGGGAUAAAGGUCCGGGGAAUGUGACUCCUUCCAGGAGUGUUAUAGCCCCGGGCGCCAUGCCGCCCGUCCCGACCGUGGACCGCGCUUCGGCUAGGAUGCUGGCGUAAUGGUCUUCA
rnacentral:rRNA from 1 species